GUGUGAAUUUGGUUUAUGU
rnacentral:misc_RNA from 1 species